CCUACGGGAGGCUGCAGUGAGGAAUAUUGGUCAAUGGACGAGAGUCUGAACCAGCCAAGUAGCGUGAAGGAUGACUGCCCUAUGGGUUGUAAACUUCUUUUAUAUGGGAGUAAAAUGUUCCACGUGUGGGAUUUUGUAUGUACCAUAUGAAUAAGGAUCGGCUAACUCCGUGCCAGCAGCCGCGGUAAUACGGAGGAUCCGAGCGUUAUCCGGAUUUAUUGGGUUUAAAGGGAGCGUAGGUGGAUUGUUAAGUCAGUUGUGAAAGGUUGCGGCUCAACCGUAAAAUUGCAGUUGAGACUGGCAGUCUUGAGUACAGUAGAGGUGGGCGGAAUUCGUGGUGUAGCGGUGAAAUGCUUAGAUAUCACGAAGAACUCCGAUUGCGAAGGCAGCUCACUGGACUGCAACUGACACUGAGGCUCGAAAGUGUGGGUAUCAAACAGGAUUAGAUACCCCAGUAGUC
rnacentral:rRNA from 1 species